rnacentral:rRNA from 1 species
GCACAAGCGGUGGAGCAUGUGGUUAAUUCGAAGCAACGCGAAGAACCUUACUGGGCUUGACACUCCCGGCCGCUCCUGGAAGCAGGGGUUCCCCGUCGGGGACCGGAGACAGGUGCUGCAUGGCUGUCGUCAGCUCGUGUCGUGAGAUGUUGGGUUAAGUCCCGCAACGAGCGCAACCCUUGCCUUUAGUUGCCAUCAUUCAGUUGGGCACUCUAGAGGGACUGCCGGUGUCAAACCGGAGGAAGGUGGGAUGACGUCAAGUCCUCAUGGCCUUUAUGCCCAGGGCUACACACGUGCUACAAUGGGCGGUACAAAGAGCAGCGAGCUCGCGAGAGUAAGCAAAUCUCAAAAAGCCGUCCUCAGUUCGGAUUGGAGUCUGCAACUCGACUCCAUGAAGUUGGAAUCGCUAGUAAUCGCGGAUCAGCAUGCCGCGGUCGAAUACGUUCCCGGGCCUU